rnacentral:misc_RNA from 1 species
AAGGAUCAUUACCAAUCCAAAAACCUUAUAAAAACCCUUGUGAACUGACAAAUUGAGUUGUACCUUGGAUGUUUGAGUUAUAUAUGACUGUAUAUCUUGCAUAUAUAAAAUAUGUAACUCGACAUCCAAUUGUAAAACCCCUUUAAAAUCUUUAGUUGACAAACUACUUUAAAAAAAGCUUUGGAAGAAAUAUGUAUGUAACGUAUAUAUUUCGGAAAAAGUAAUAAUAAUAAUAAAAUACAACUUUUGGCGGUGGAUCUCUUGGCUCAU